rnacentral:tRNA from 1 species
GCGGGUGUCGUAUAAUGGCUAUUAUGCCAGCCUUCCAAGCUGGACAUGCGGGUUCGAUUCCCGCCACCCGCACCA